UCCAGAUACAAGGGCAGCCA
rnacentral:misc_RNA from 1 species